rnacentral:rRNA from 1 species
CUCCCUACGGGGGGGCAGCAGUGGGGAAUAUUGCACAAUGGGGGGAACCCUGAUGCAGCGACGCCGCGUGAGUGAAGAAGUAUUUCGGUACGUAAAGCUCUAUCAGCAGGAAAGAAAAUGACGGUACCUGACUAAGAAGCCCCGGCUAACUACGUGCCAGCAGCCACGGUAAUACGUAGGGGGCAAGCGUUAUCCGGAUUUACUGGGUGUAAAGGGAGCGUAGACGGCAGCGCAAGUCUGGAGUGAAAUGCCGGGGCCCAACCCCGGAACUGCUC